UACGGGGGGGGCAAGCGUUGUUCGGAAUUAUUGGGCGUAAAGGGCGCGUAGGCGGCCUGGCAAGUGGAAGGUGAAAUCCCUCGGCUUAACCGAGGAACUGCCUCCCAAACUGCUUGGCUUGAGACCGGGAGAGGUGAGUGGAAUUCCCAGUGUAGCGGUGAAAUGCGUAGAUAUUGGGAGGAACACCAGUGGCGAAGGCGACUACCUGGCCUGUUCUUGACGCUGAGGCGCGAAAGCUAGGGGAGCAAACGGG
rnacentral:rRNA from 1 species